CCCACGCCACCUCCCCACCCCCCACCACUCCCACACCCGCCUCGCUCCCAGUCCCCAUUCCUUCCAGUGUUUAGCAUGACAUCACUGAACCUCAGGCACGCUCCGUACACAGGCCACUUUCUUUGCCUGCAGACUUCCAGUGUGAGAUGCUUGGCUCUCCAGCCUUGGGAGCUUCCUGGUGCUCUUCGUUCUUCCAGCUGCAGUUCUUCCUCCUGGACCUCUGCACACUCACCUUGUGCUGUAGACUCCACAGACACUGCUCUUGGCACUUUCUGGAAGCCUUCGGCUGCCUCCUGAAGGACGAGUGAACUGAGGGCGUAGAGCCUCAGGGCUUUCUUUCUCCAGUUGUCUUGUAGCUGCUAUUCCUGGGUGCCCGGAACUGGGAGCUCACUCUAAAGAAACAAGUGGACCACCAAGAAGAGGCCUUUACUGACCCUACACAGGGAUAGGAUUAUAUAGGAGAAGCCCCCUAGAUUAAUCUGUCUACACUGAGAAGUAGUCUGCUCGUCCGAAACAGGACGGGGUGGGGGGGGCGGCUAUAAUGUGGUCAGCAGUGGACUUGAAUGUGCAUAGCUCCCAUUCACACUUCUCUUAAGACUCAUUUAAGAGCCAGCUGGCAGGGCACGCCUUUAAUCCCAAAACUUGGGAGGCAGAAGUGGAGCUCUGCAAGUUCAGGGCCAGCCUGGCCUACAGAGUUAGUUCCAGGACAGCGAGAGCUGUUAUACAAACCCUUUUGCAAACAAACAAACAAAAUAAAAAAACACAGAGAGACAGAAAGACAGACAGACAAAGACUCAUUUAAGGACCAAUCACAAGCCUGGCACUUCACCAGUCAGGCACUUCAGGUGGUUCUUUGUCAAGCUGCUCCUGUGAGCCGGGUCAUCUGAGGUUCUACUGAGGCUUGCCUGGCCUGGACCGGAGUUUCCCAAGGUGCCUGGGGUGGUGGUGACUGAGGUAAGAGUUGUGUCUUGAGAAGCUGCUGUGACCAUUCAAGGACAUCCCCUAAGGCUCCCCUGAGGUCCUAGAGGUAUGGAGGAAUUGUUUGCAUAUCUUGAACAGCCACGGAGAAGAGGUCAGGGGGCUGCACUCUACAUGGCUCUCAGGAGCCCUGGGUUGUGGGCCCCACAAUCCCCAAACCUGUUAUAAGCCCUACUUCUGAAAUCUACCAUCUCUUUGAAGGUCAGAGCCAUGGCUGCAGAUAUGGCUCCUCCCUACCUCCUCUGGAGGCCUGGCUGACUCCGAUCCUCCCUGCCAUUCUGGUAGUAACAGUACAGUACAGCUUCACGAAGCCUUUCUCCGUGAUGCUGCCCAUCAGUCCCAGUGGUACCCACUGAUGGUCCUGAUGCUGUGCCUGGCCCUGAUGCUGUGCCUGGCCCUGAUGCUGUGCCUGGCUCUGAUGCUGUGCCUGGCCCUGAUGCUGUGCUUUGUCCUGAUGCUGUGCCUGACCCACUGUGACCACCUGCUGGACCCUUUGCUCAGAGUCUCUAACUGCUCCUCUGGUUUUCAUCUCCGUUGCUCAUAUCCCACCCCACAGUGUCCUGUCCUCUGCUGCCAGAAAGCUGACAUGGGAGGAGACCAGGCCAAGAGAACCAGGAUACCGCCACACUCCUACGAAUGAGGACAUCCUGUCCCCACAGAUAUGACCUGUUCCCCCUGCACCACUACCCCCCACAACCUGUAUCUAAGGAUCUCCUUCACUUUCGCCUUCACGACCCAGUCAAGGUGUCAAGUAGUUCAUAGGAUCUCGCUCUCAGUAGAGCUCAACGUUUGAAGCGUUUGUUAGAGAACGGAUCAAUGCUGAGCCGACCACUGACCCUUUACCACCACGGAUUCACUUGGCUUUCAAAAUCCAAGGCUGCAGGCUGGAGUCAGCUCUUCAGACUUGACUUACCCACCAGGGACAAAGCUCUCAAUAUUCCAUAUCCAAGCUGUGGUAGCUCCAUAGCAGGUGGCGGCCCUUGGGGAUCUCCUUUGUGUUACAGCCUCACCUGAGAAUGGGGUGGGUACCACAGCACCCGUGGUUUACACCGGAGAUGGAUGAAGAAGGUCCUACAGGGAACUCUGAGUGGUAAAGUCCACGGACGGUUGUGGCAGAGAAGGAGCUAUUUCGAGGUUCGUUCUACACGAUGCUGCUCAGGGAAAUGAGAGUAGCCAUGGCCCUGCAGGGUACUCGGUGUUGGGGUCUCCUGACACUGACUUUGGUUGCAUAUUCUUGGGAAGAGGAGGCUAAUGAGCCCUAACAGAAGACAAAGACACCACACACCCUCAACAGCAUGCACAGAGUUGUCUUGUUGCUUAAAUAUUAGAAUAGGGAGUGCCGAUACCACCCCGCACUGCCACAAAGCUGUGGGUGCAACCCCCAGGGUCUACUCUACUCCAUCGGUCCGAGAGUGUUUGGUGAAAAUGUGGGCUGUGAUAAGUGGAUAUUAACCCAGAAACUUAGACUACCCAAGAUACAAUUUGCAAAACACAUGAAACUCAAGGAGAAGGAAGACCAAAGUGUGUAUACUUCGUUCCUUCUUAGAAUGGGGAACAAAAUACCCAUGAAAGGAGUUACAAAGACAAAGUUCGGAGCUAAGACAGAAGAAAGGACCAUCCAGAGACUGCCUCACUCGGGGAUCCAUCCCGUAUACAACCACCAAACCCAGACACUAAUGCAUAUGCCAGCAAGAUUUUGCUGACAGGACCCUGAUAUAGCUAUCUCUUGUGAGGCUAUGCCAGUGCCUGGCAAAUACAUAAGUGGAUGCUCACAGUCA
rnacentral:lncRNA from 1 species